UCCAGUAUUCUUUAGCAAUGAGCUCAAUCACCUUCAUCUUGAUAAUGCUCCUCUGUUUACAUGGAUGCAGGUCAGUACACUGUGACUCAGGCUCCAGCGGUGAAAGCUGCAUCUGUGGGGGACACGGCAAUUCUGACCUGUAAAGUCAGCAGUGCUGUGUACAGGGAUAGUGAUGGAGAUGACUGGCUUUACUGGUAUUAACAGACGCCUGGAGGAGCUCCUAAACUUUUGAUUAAA